UAAAAUGAGAGUUUGAUCCUGGCUCAGGACGAACGCUGGCGGCGUGCCUAAUACAUGCAAGUCGAACGAAACUUUCUUACACCGAAUGCUUGCAUUCACCGUAAGAAGUUGAGUGGCGGACGGGUGAGUAACACGUGGGUAACCUGCCUAAAAGAAGGGGAUAACACUUGGAAACAGGUGCUAAUACCGUAUAUCUCUAAGGAUCGCAUGAUCCUUAGAUGAAAGAUGGUUCUGCUAUCGCUUUUAGAUGGACCCGCGGCGUAUUAACUAGUUGGUGGGGUAACGGCCUACCAAGGUGAUGAUACGUAGCCGAACUGAGAGGUUGAUCGGCCACAUUGGGACUGAGACACGGCCCAAACUCCUACGGGAGGCAGCAGUAGGGAAUCUUCCACAAUGGACGCAAGUCUGAUGGAGCAACGCCGCGUGAGUGAAGAAGGUCUUCGGAUCGUAAAACUCUGUUGUUAGAGAAGAACACGAGUGAGAGUAACUGUUCAUUCGAUGACGGUAUCUAACCAGCAAGUCACGGCUAACUACGUGCCAGCAGCCGCGGUAAUACGUAGGUGGCAAGCGUUGUCCGGAUUUAUUGGGCGUAAAGGGAACGCAGGCGGUCUUUUAAGUCUGAUGUGAAAGCCUUCGGCUUAACCGGAGUAGUGCAUUGGAAACUGGAAGACUUGAGUGCAGAAGAGGAGAGUGGAACUCCAUGUGUAGCGGUGAAAUGCGUAGAUAUAUGGAAGAACACCAGUGGCGAAAGCGGCUCUCUGGUCUGUAACUGACGCUGAGGUUCGAAAGCGUGGGUAGCAAACAGGAUUAGAUACCCUGGUAGUCUACGCCGUAAACGAUGAAUGCUAGGUGUUGGAGGGUUUCCGCCCUUCAGUGCCGCAGCUAACGCAAUAAGCAUUCCGCCUGGGGAGUACGACCGCAAGGUUGAAACUCAAAGGAAUUGACGGGGGCCCGCACAAGCGGUGGAGCAUGUGGUUUAAUUCGAAGCAACGCGAAGAACCUUACCAGGUCUUGACAUCCUUUGACCACCUAAGAGAUUAGGCUUUCCCUUCGGGGACAAAGUGACAGGUGGUGCAUGGCUGUCGUCAGCUCGUGUCGUGAGAUGUUGGGUUAAGUCCCGCAACGAGCGCAACCCUUGUUGUCAGUUGCCAGCAUUAAGUUGGGCACUCUGGCGAGACUGCCGGUGACAAACCGGAGGAAGGUGGGGACGACGUCAAGUCAUCAUGCCCCUUAUGACCUGGGCUACACACGUGCUACAAUGGACGGUACAACGAGUCGCAAGACCGCGAGGUUUAGCUAAUCUCUUAAAGCCGUUCUCAGUUCGGAUUGUAGGCUGCAACUCGCCUACAUGAAGUCGGAAUCGCUAGUAAUCGCGAAUCAGCAUGUCGCGGUGAAUACGUUCCCGGGCCUUGUACACACCGCCCGUCACACCAUGAGAGUUUGUAACACCCAAAGCCGGUGGGGUAACCGCAAGGAGCCAGCCGUCUAAGGUGGGACAGAUGAUUGGGGUGAAGUCGUAACAAGGUAGCCGUAGGAGAACCUGCGGCUGGAUCACCUCCUUU
rnacentral:rRNA from 1 species